rnacentral:rRNA from 1 species
GACGAACGCUGGCGGCGUGCUUAACACAUGCAAGUCGAACGGUGAAGCGCCUUCCUUUUUGGUGGGUGUGGAUGAGUGGCGAACGGGUGAGUAACACGUGAGUAACCUGCCCCCUUCUUCUGGAUAACCGCAUGAAAGUGUGGCUAAUACGGGAUAUUCUGGGUCUGUCGCAUGAUGGGUCUGGGAAAGAUAUUGUUUCGGUGGGGGAUGGGCUCGCGGCCUAUCAGCUUGUUGGUGGGGUGAUGGCCUACCAAGGCGGUGACGGGUAGCCGGCCUGAGAGGGUGGACGGUCACGAUGGCAGUGAGAGAAGGACCAGACUGAUACGGGAGGCAGCCGCGGAGACUAUUGCACAAUGGGCGGAGGCAUGGUACAGCGACGCCGCGUGAGAGAUGGACGCCUUCGGGUUGGUACCCUCUUUCGCGAGUAAAGCAGGCUUGCGUGGUGUGUGGGGGGAUUGACGGUAGCGGGAUAAGAAGCGCCGGCUAACUACGUG